rnacentral:rRNA from 1 species
CACGUAGGGGGCAAGCGUUGUCCGGAUUUAUUGGGCGUAAAGAGCUCGUAGGCGGUUCGGUAAGUCGGGUGUGAAACCUCCAGGCUCAACCUGGAGACGCCACCCGAUACUGCUGUGACUAGAGUCCGGUAGGGGAGCGUGGAAUUCCUGGUGUAGCGGUGAAAUGCGCAGAUAUCAGGAGGAACACCGAUGGCGAAGGCAGAUCUCUGGGCCGUAACUGACGCUGAGGAGCGAAAGCAUGGGGAGCGAACAGG